rnacentral:lncRNA from 1 species
AUCCAUGGCUACAUGCAAAACCACUCCAAAAUGUAGUGGUUUCAGCAACAACGGCAUUUACUUCGCUCAUGCAUCUGCAGUUACGGACCCGCUCAGUGGAGAUGGCCCGGAUUUGCUCCACCCUGUGUCAGCUGGGGAGACGCACAGAUCUUGAAAAUAUAGUUGGAUGAAUUUCAACAAAUAAGCGCACCUGUGUAACCAACCCUUAAACUGUGUUAAGUGGUGUCCAAAGAGCUGCCAACAGUCCCUUCUUUCCCUCGAUGUGUCCUGUCCCUCCCAUCGACAAACAGAGUCUCUUUCUCCUGGAGACGUCUUGAGACUUCAUUUGACCCAUAGAAUAUGGCAGAAGUGAAGCUCGGCUGGUUCCAGAGCUACCCCUUAAGAAGGCUGCUGCUGUGUCUACCUGGUGUAAGAAAACAGUCCAGACAACUGGCAACCCCCUAGACCUUACAGAGGGGCACCGAACCACCCAAACCAACCUGGCCUGAAGGGCAGAAUUGCACCAGUAUUUUAAGGCGCCGAAUGUUGAUACAAAAAAGGAGAUUCAGGACAUCUCACCACCACAAAGCAUCUCCUCAUGAUCAUGGGCAGUCAAUCCCUGUGGACCCUCUCGGCUAAAUGUCUGCCAUAUUUCUACCCCCGUAGGCUAGUUGUGCUCAUUCUGAAACUUUAAAUACACUUCAUGUGAUCUUUUACAUGAAGGGAGUGAUGCAAUUUACUUUUUUUAUGUGAUUUAUUUCACUUAAUAUAACAUCUCUGAUAUUCAUCCACAGCUUAGGUUAUUAUUUUUUAUUGUUGUGUAGUAUUCUAUAAGUAUACCAACAUCUGUUUAUAUAUUCUCUUAAUAAUAAACAUUUGGAAGUAUCUAUAUGUAUAUGUGUAACUGGAUCACCAUGCUGUACAGUAGAAAAUUGAUAGAACACUGUAAACCAGCGAUAAUGAAAAAAAAACAUUAUAUAUAUAUAUAUAAAAAAAUAAACAUUUGGAUCAUUUCUAGUUUUUGACUAGAAUCAGUAAGGCUGCUCUGAAGAUUCUGAUACACGUGUUUUUGUGGGCAUGUGUUAUCAUUUCUCUUCUGUAAACAGUGAUAAGUUCCUAGGAUAAAUGGAUGUUUAACAUUUGAAGAAACUGCUUAAAGGGUCCCCAAAAUGGUUGUGCCACUUCACCCUUCCCCCCAAAAUUAAUUGGUCAUAUAUUUAGGAGUCUACUUUUGGGUUUUUUUUUUUUUACAUCUUUUUUUUAGGGUCACACCCAUAGCAUAUGGAGGUCCCCAGGUGAGGGGUUGAAUCGAGCUAUAGCUGCUUGCCUACACCACAACCAGAGAAAUGGGGGAUCCAAGCCACGUCUGUGACCUGUGGUGUGCUAAUCCACCCCCCCCCCCCCAGAAUGUGUGAGAUCUGGGGCCACACAUCCUUAUCGUUAUCUGGAGUAGUCAAGGCUUUAGUUUCACUCUUUCUAAUAGAAGUGAGUUGACUUUAUUGUAGUUUCAAUUUAUGGUUCUUAGGUGAGCAAUAUUUUUUUCCCUUAAAUUAUUUUUUCCUGCAUGUAUGGAGGAUGAUUAAAUAAUUUAUCUCUUUUAGCCUGUAAAUAUGGCAAAUUCUAUUGAUUUUCAAACUUAAGCAAGCCAUGCCUUCUCAAGAUAAAUCCGUCUUGCAGGUUUCCCUUGUGACUCAGUAGUAACAAAUCUGACUAGUAACCAUGAGGAUACAGGUUCGAUCCCUGGCCCCACUCAGUGGGUUAAGGAUCCAGCAUUGCCACAAGCUGCAGUGUAGUUCACAGAGGAGGCUCAGAUCUGGCGUCUCCGUGACUAUGGUGUAGGCCAGCAGCUGUAGCUCUGAUUCAACCCCCAGCCUGGUACUUCCAUAUGUUGCAAGUGUGGCCCUCGGGGGUGGGGGUGGGGAAUAAAUCUCUCUUGAUCAUUUUUUUAAAUGUGUUUCUAUAUUUGAUUUGCAAAAAAAAAAAAAA